rnacentral:rRNA from 1 species
AACAUGGCUUUUUGAAUUUGAUUUGAAGUCUGGCCUGCCCGAUGAAUAUUCAAUGGCUGCAGUAUUUUGACUGUACAAAGGUAGCAUAAUCAUUAGUUUUUUAAUUGAAAGCUAGUAUGAAUGGCUUAAUGAGAAAAAAGCUGUCUUUAUUUGAUUUUUUAGAGAAAUUUAUUUUUAAGUUAAAAAGCUUAAAUGUAUAUAAAAGACGAGAAGACCCUAUAGAGUUUGAUAAUAAAUAAAUUGUAGAAUUCUAGGGAUUAUAUUUUUUAUUUAAUUUAUAAGUUAUUUAAUUGGGGUGAUUCAAAAAUUUAUAUAACUUUUAAAUUUUUUAAACAUUUGUUUAUGAAUAAUUGAUCCAUAUAUUGUGAUUAAAAGAUUAAAUUACCUUAGGGAUAACAGCGUAAUUUUUUUGGAGAGUUCUUAUCGAUAAAAAAGGUUGCGACCUCGAUGUUGGAUUAAAAUUUACUAUUGGCGCAGAAGUUGAUAAGUUGGGUCUGUUCGACCUUUAAAAUUUUACAUGAUCUGAGUUUAAACCGGUGUGAGCCAGG